rnacentral:tRNA from 3 species
AGGGCUAUAGCUCAGUUAGGUAGAGCACCUCGUUUACGUCUACGGUUCGAGUCCGUAUAGCCCUA